AAUGAUGAGGCUGAUGCAAGUGGGAGAGAUGUAUAUAAAGAGUUAUGAGAGCCCAGAAGUAAAUAUAAGCAGGUGAACAGAAAUUAUGCCGCAGGCAUUUGACCAAACUCCCCUAAGACCAGCUUCGCAGUUUGCAUCAACUCCUCCGCAGGUCUUACAAAUAUUUGGAUCAAGCUAUUCAAGGCAUGUGGACCUCCAAGUUUGAAGAAAUAAUAGACUUGGCAUUGUAUAAGCUGGUGGAGGGAAAUGGAAAUGAAGUGUAAGUAUUGGAAUUGAAUCCGAGUAACUGCAAUGGCAGAGAAGUAGGUGAAGAAGCACAAAAAAGAGAGAGGGGGACAUUGAAUUGUGGUAGUAAAUGAGGGGCAGGGCCAGGCAGCAGCAGAGAAGAGAUGUGAAUUAUUAUUAUGGAAUUCUGGUGUUUUUUGACUGUUAGUGCAACUUAAAAGCAGUGCUUCUUUCUCUGUGAAUAGUAGAGACAGCUAAGUAGCCAGCCUGUUUCUGUAUAUUAGGAAAUAUUAAUGGAUUCUGAAUUAUUAUCAAAAUAUGAUGAUACCAUAAGUGAAACAGUUAUCAUUUUUUUGUAAUAUAAUGCUUCAUA